rnacentral:lncRNA from 1 species
AUCUCAGCAUCUCCACAUCUCAGCACCUCCGAAUCUCAGCAUCCAGCUCGAGCUGUGAACCACAUCUGUGGUGCAUCUGUGCUUUAUCUGGUUUAUUUCAUGGACCUAAGGGCUGCAUCUACAACAACACUGAUCCUUUAACCCACUGUGUGGGGCUGGGGAACAACCUGUGUCCUGGUGCUGCUGAGACGCCACCAAUCCCGUUGGGCUACAGCAGAACGCCUGGAGAGGAUAUUUUAAUAUAUUGAAUCAUUGAGAAAUGAUAAAAGGAGAAGUCCAUACACAUUCAUGAUUUUCCUUUUUUUAAAAAAUUUUUUGAGAAUGAUAACAUCCCCUGAGGAGCCCUCUUGAAGGAAGAGAACAGAAACGUCAGCAUCCUGGGUUGUUCUCAUGCCCACAGACACUUUCCGUGGGGGAGCAGUGACCCCAAGCGUGGCCCAGGGUCCUCAAGACCCUCUCCAAAAGGGUUCCUAGGGUCAAAACUAUUUUCAUAAUACCAGAGAUUUGUUCCUUUUUCAGUCUCCUGCUCUCCUGAUUGUACAGGGGAAUUUUCUAGAAGCUGAUAGUGCAGACUGAUUGAGCAGACUGACUACAGACUGAUGGUGCAGACUGACGGUGGAGACUAACUGCAAACUGAGUGCAGACUGAUGGUGCAGACUGAUUGCAGAAGCAGCUAUGAACAUUCACCUGUAUUGUUAGCCAGACAUUACAGCAAUUUGCAGAAAUGGAAGCAAUGUUACUCCAUUUCUGCUCUUUGAGAAGAGACGUUACUACUUACAGGCUUGCAGAUCCCUCUGAAGGUUUGUUCUCUGCGAGUGGAAGCAUCCUCCGCAAGGCCAGAAGCAGGGCUCCAAGCGCGAAGUCAGGACCCAGAAAUGAGGCCUCGGUGGAUUCCCCACCCAGUCAGGGGGAAGGACUCUGAAUGGCUGGUCCCGUGUCAUGUGACCGCCCUUGAGCCUCUGCCUGGUGUGCGGACAGAGCUGAGAUGCCCAGCGAAGAGAAAAUGGUUUCCCCAGGUUCUGGACUCGCUUCUCAGCGACUCCAGUUUUGUUCAGGAAAUCGAGACGUCUCAUGCUUCCAGAGCUCUUCUCCAACCCCAAAGAUUGGCCAAUCCAGAGGUUCUUAACUUGAGUGGCCCAGCGCAGUGCCUCAGGGGACUUUUAAACAUCAGGAUGCGGAGAACAUGUUGGACCAGGGAAAUCAGUCACUGGGGAUGAGACUCAGCCAGCAUCAGUAUUUUGUAAAGCUCCCCAGGCUUAUGACAUGCCUGAAGCUUUACUAGCUUCUCUGCUUCCCAGCAGCUACCCACCGACCAGCUCCUCACACUCUUGCUAUGAGCCAUGAAUCAAAACUUAUUUUGAGGAGAAAAGCAACCCAGAAAGGCCCUGUUGGAUACCCCACCUCCUCCUCUGAGAAUAUCAGGUGAACAUUCUCUCAUUCAUUUUGCCACUUUGUUUAUAUCCAAAUAUCUGGAUAUUAACGGACAAAUGCAGGAGCCAGUUGGGUCCCCAGAACUUCGAAAUUAACCUUUCUGAGCAAAGGAAAAAGCUCUUCCCGUCCUCUCAGGGUGAGUGACUGAUUGGGCAGCUUGCUUCAACGUUCGGACACACCCAGAAAAUUGUUCCAGACUGUGGAUCAGAGGCCUCUAAGUGUGUCAAACUCACUUGCCUCUAGGUAGCUGGGCUGCUGUUCCCGGUCCAGCUGUAUAACCAUAUAAUAUGUCACCCAUCUCCAGACAGUUUUUUUAGUAAAAAGAGUUGUUUUUGAUGAGCAUGCUGUGACCAAAGACUCAACCUAGGACAACGCCUGGGGAACCAGGACCCACCGCCUAAGUCUGCCUGGGUAACUUCUGGGGCCGCCAAUGGCUGGUGACACCCCCCUGCCCACCUGCAGCUGUCCUUAGGGCUGGCCUGUGGUAAAAAUGACAGGCGAAGAUCUUAAGAAAGUACAGUUUUUAUGAGACCAACUGUUUUGUGAAUGCUCUCAACAACAGAGCCCCAUGUCUGCAGAUCUUCCAGAGGGCUAACGAAAGCCAAGUUUGAGGAAGCGUGGCUCUCACUCUGAGGGAAAAUGUGAAAAAAAGAUUAUAGAAAUCAGGAGUUCCCACUGUGUAAUGAAUCUGACUAGUACCCAUGAGGAUGCAGGUUCAAUCCCUGUCCUUGCUCAGUGGGUUAAGGAUCCGGCGUUGCCGCGAGCUGUGGUGUAGGUCACAGACGCGGCUUGGGUCCCACGUGGCUGUGGCUGUGGUGUAGGCCGGCAGCUGCAGCUCUGAUUCAACCCCUAACUUGGGAACCUCCAUAUGCCGUGGGUGUGGCCCUAAAAAGAAAAGAAAAGAUUACAAAAAUCAGAUGACACAAUGAAAAGAAGCGGAGGAGGUGGACUGUGCGUGGACCUGCAUAGAAACAGCAAUUUUGCAGAAGCACCUCUGAGUGGAGUUCUAGGGACAGACCGAAUAGGCUUUGUGGAGACACACCCUGUCACUCCUACGAAGUCCUGCAGGUAACUGGCUCCCAUGACCAGCAUGAUGGGAAAAGAACAAGGGCCUUUCUAUGCUACAGCCACACAAAGAUGCUGCAAAAGAAGGGAAAGAAAAGGCAGCACAGAUUACCAACAGAGGAAGGGAAUUCUCCAGAAAAGCAUUGCCUUGCAAGAGAUGAAAAAUUGUAGGAAGUGAAAUCUUCAUUCGUUUAAAAUAAAUGCUAUUUUAAGAGGUGUACAAUGAAGCCUAAAGGCAAGAACUCAGAAUGUAGAAACGGAGGAUGUUAAUCACAGGUGGGCAGAGGGCAGGACAGAAAGAUGAGGAUGGCAUUGGAUAGAGUCCAAAGGCAAAUGAACACUAACAAGAAAAAUGAGGUGACCUGAAGAGUAGAAGCGAGAAAAGUCAAAAGAAAAUGGGAAAAAAGUGUUAAACUUAUCACAGGACACAGGUAUGCAAGAAACUAGCCCAAAUAAUGUUGAGCAUAGUAUGUUGACUCUGUACCUCAGAUUGAAGAUAAAAAUGCUGUACCCAUGCUGAAUUCUAACUAGGAGCUUUGUUGGUCCUGGUCAUUUGGGCUACUCAUUUGGCAACCACUUCUGAGUAUUUUUGGAUAGAGAAGUAAUUGCCUUAAGAACAAGCACCUGUAACUUUCUCCUCUUCUGAUGGAGAGCUGAGUUACCAAGUAUGGCGAGGGCGGAGAUUAAGAACUUGUGUGCAGGGGAAUUGGGACAUCUGUGUAAUGACUGCAUGUGAGCGUGCAUGCACACACACACAAACACAUGCAUGUGCACACGCACUCGUGACUCCAGCCACAGAGUCCUCGGGUCUCCUGGGUGAAGGGGCCCUGGAGCAGUCUGCCUCGGCACCUGUGACAACUCACAUCUUGAGCUCUGCAAACCAUUCUAAUAAAUUGGCUUGAAACAAUGGUUUCCUUGGCGACACAGUUGCGUCCAGGGCUGUGUCAAGGGACGUAUAAGGUGAGGGCUAGAAUGGGAUGGAAGAAAGUGACCAGAGAAUGGAGCCCCGUGCUGACGAAGACGUUGCACGAGCCAACUGAUGAAGAUGUUCCACUGGUCAUUUCAGGUACAAUUUGAGCAUCGAAAUACAUAAGGAUAGAAAGACGUAGUUAUCCAUUGAAUGAACUGAGAAUUGCUCAUUCCCUGAGUGAACGGGAAGGAAACACUCCUCCUUGCUGAAGAAAACCAACAAAGAAACGUGGAAGGGAAGGCAAGGUUAGGAAGUCCUUGUCUGACAGCUGUUGACUGAGGCCAAAACCAGGGGUAGAAAGUUGGAGCCACGAAACAUCUUGUUUCCAAGGGUCCAAGAUACUUCUUAACAGAAAGGACCACAGAGGAGCUUUGCACCUGAGAAACCUUGCAGACGCCACAUUCCCCAAAGGACGGAAGUUACCUUCACCCCCAAACGAGGUCAAGUCACCCUUGCUAUGGUUCGUAAGACGAUCACAGCGUCACUUCCGAGGGUCUUCUGCCCCAGAUACGUGACCUGCAACAAAUCACGACAAAAUAUCUAAGUACCCACACUGAGUGACAUUCUCAAAACAAUGGCUCAAAGUUUUUAAAGAAAGUGAAAUGUAAAAACAUGCUUCUGAUUAAAGGAGACUCAAGUGAUCAUGAUUAAUAUAAUACGUGUCCUUUUGUGAAACCCUGGCCUGGGCUGGGCAGGGGUCCUUUAUGAUAGACAUUAUUGGGACAAUUAAUGACAUUUUGAACAGAGACUGCGAAUUCCAUAACAGUAUUGUAUCAUAUUCAGUUUCCUGGAUUUGAACAUUCUUCUGUCGUUUCAUAAGAGUAUCCUUGUUUUUCGGGAAUAUACUGAUAUAUUUAGGGUAAAAGUGUGCUGCCUGGGAACCUCCUUAUGCCAUAAGAGCGGCCCCAGAAAAGGCAAAAAGACAAAUAAAAUAAAAUAAAAUAAAUAAAUAAAUGGGGGGAGUUCCUGUCAUGGCUCAGCAGAAAUGAAUCUGACUGUUAUCUACCAGGAUGCGGGUUCAAUCCCUGGCCUUGCCCAGUGGGUUAAGGAUCCAGCAUUGUGGUGAGCUGUGGUGUAGGUCACAGAUGGGGCUUGGAUCCUGCAUUGUGGUGGCUGUGGUGUAGGCCGGUGGCUGUAGCUCCAAUUUGACCCCUAGCCUAGGAAUCUCCAUAUGCCACAGGUACGGCCCUAAAANAAAAAAAAAAAAAAAAAAAAAAA